CUCUACAAUUUAUCAAGACCUUGAAAUUUUUAUAUUUUCGACUUUUCCACCCACAUAAAUCGAAAUGUCUCCCUGCUCCUGCAACUGCUGCUCCGGAAGCUGCGCCGGCUGCUCAUGCUCCUCUUGCAGCGUAUGUACUUUCUC
rnacentral:sRNA from 1 species